AUAGAUGCUGGUUUUAAUUCUUUCUCAUCUUUCAUUUUAAUGGGUUCACCAGGUUUUCCUACACUUUUUGUUCCUGACACACCAAGUUCGACUACUUCCAGAACUGUUGUUAAGCAAUCCUUAUCCUAAAAGAAUGAUUCUAAUUUUGUGAAUGAGCAGUGAGCCAAGUUUUUAAACAACUAAAUGCAGCAACAAUAGAAGAAUGAAGAUCUUUAGAAUGAGCUGGUGGUGGACGCCAACAUUGAUAUGCAAUAUAGUCACAGAGCCAUUUCACAGCCCGUUUACAUUCUAAAGCAUCUGCAAUGUUUAUUAAAAAUAUAGUAUUUUGUAAUUAAAUUUUAAACUAUAAACUGUA